rnacentral:rRNA from 1 species
CCAGUGAUCAUAUGCUUGUUUCAAAGAUUAAGCCAUGCAUGUCUAAGUACUAACUCUCUAAUGAAAAGUGAAACCGCAGAUGGCUCAUUAAAUCAGUCGUAAUUGACGGGACCGUGGCUUACGGUGGAUAUCUCUGGCAAUUCUAGAGCUAAUACAUGCUGAAAAGUCUCGGACCCCUGGGGACGAGCGCACUUAUUAGGCCAAAAACCUUUGUCCGUUUAUGGCGAGUCUAGAUAAUAUGCAGAUUCGUGUGGGUCAUAGCAUCAACGACGAGUCUCCUAAGCGUCUGCCUCAUCAACUAGAUGGUAGGGUAACGGCCUACCAUGGUUGUGACGGGUGACGGGGAAUCAGGGUUCGAUUCCGGAGAGGCAGCCUGAGAGACGGCUACCACAUCCAAGGAAGGCAGCAGGCACGAAAAUUACCCAAUCCCGGAACGGGGAGGUAGUGACGAUAAAUAACGAUGCGGGACUCUAUCGAGGCCCCGUGAUUGGAAUGAGAGGAGUGUACAAGUCUCCCUCGAGAAACUAUUGGAGGGCAAGUCUGGUGCCAGCAGCCGCGGUAAUUCCAGCUCCGAUAGCGUAUACUAAAGUUGCUGCGGUUGAAAAGCUCGUAGUUGGACGUCGGGCCUGGGCGAGUGGUCCACCUUCCGGGGUGGCGACUGUUCGCAACGGGACCAGUGUGGCCGGCCUACCCUCGGUGCUCUUGACCGGGUGCCGCUGGGUGGCCGGAGGCCGUACUUCGAAAAAAUCAGAGUGCUCAGAGCAGGCAUGUGGCAAAUGAAUAUCCAAGCAUGGAAUACGAGAACACGACUUCGGGUCUAUUUUGUUGGUUUCUUGAACCGAGGCAAUGAUUAAUUGGGACGGCCGGGGGCAUACGUAUUGCGAGGCGAGAGGUGAAAUUCUUGGACCCUUGCAAGACGACCUAGAGCGAAAGCAUUUGCCAAGAAUGUUUUCAUUAAUCAAGAACGAAAGUUAGAGGUUCGAAGGCGAUCAGAUACCGCCCUAGUUCUAACUAUAAACGAUGCCAACCGGCGAUCGGGGUGCGUUCCUCCAAUGACGCCCCCGGCAGCUUCCCGGGAAACCAGAGUGUGUGGGUUCCUGGGGAAGUAUGGUUGCAAGGCUGAAACUUAAAGGAAUUGACGGAAGGGCACCACCAGGAGUGGAGCCUGCGGCUUAAUUUGACUCAACACGGGGCAGCUCACUCGGCCCGGACACUCGAAGGAUUGACAGAUUGAGAGCUCUUUCUCGAUUGAGUGGUGAGUGGUGCAUGGCCGUUCUUAGUUGGUGGAGUGAUUUGUCUGGUUAAUUCCGAUAACGAACGAGACUCCGGCCUGCCAAAUAGAAAGUCGAUAGGUCUGGUCGACUGUGACAGUAGUCUUCUUAGAGGGACGGGCGGCUCUCAGCCGCAAGAAGUGGAGCGAUAACAGGUCUGUGAUGCCCUUAGAUGUCCGAGGCUGCACGCGGGCUACACUGAAGGGGUCAGCGUGUCGAUGGGCCCGGGGCCGCGAGGUCCGGGUAAUCCGCUGAACUCCCUUCGUGAAAGGGACUGGGGCUUGAAACUAUAGCCCACGAACGAGGAAUUCCUGGUACGGGCGAGUCACCAACUCGCCCUGACUACGUCCCUGCCCUUUGUACACACCGCCCGUCGCUACUACCGAUUGAAUGGUUCAGUGAGGCCUCUAGACAGGAGCCUGGCGAGACGGCCGGUGCCUCGUGUGCCGGUCGGCCGAGCCUGCUGCACCUGGAAGCUGACCGAACUCGACCACUUAGAGGAAGUAAAAGUCGUAACA